GACGAACGCUGGCGGCGUGCUUAACACAUGCAAGUCGAACGAAGAGCGAUGGAAGCUUGCUUCUAUCAAUCUUAGUGGCGAACGGGUGAGUAACGCGUAAUCAACCUGCCCUUCAGAGGGGGACAACAGUUGGAAACGACUGCUAAUACCGCAUACGAUCUAAUCUCGGCAUCGAGGAUAGAUGAAAGGUGGCCUCUACAUGUAAGCUAUCACUGAAGGAGGGGAUUGCGUCUGAUUAGCUAGUUGGAGGGGUAACGGCCCACCAAGGCGAUGAUCAGUAGCCGGUCUGAGAGGAUGAACGGCCACAUUGGGACUGAGACACGGCCCAGACUCCUACGGGAGGCAGCAGUGGGGAAUCUUCCGCAAUGGACGAAAGUCUGACGGAGCAACGCCGCGUGAGUGAUGACGGCCUUCGGGUUGUAAAGCUCUGUUAAUCGGGACGAAAGGCAUUCUUGCGAAGAGUGAGAAGGAUUGACGGUACCGGAAUAGAAAGCCACGGCUAACUACGU
rnacentral:rRNA from 1 species